rnacentral:tRNA from 2 species
GUUUUUAUAGUUUAAAAAUCAAAACAUUGGUCUUGUAAAUCAAUAAUGAAUUGUAAUUCUAAAAACU